AACGGCCAUAUCACGUUGAAACACCGGUCCUCGUACGAUCACCGAAGUUAAGCAACGUCGAGCCUGGUCUGUACGUACAUAGGUGACCGCUUGUGAUUACCAGAU